UGUGUGUGUGUUUGAGUGAGUGUGUGUGUGUUCAGGAGAUGCGGCGGUGGGGAAGAGCUCACUGUGUCAGAUGUUCCGCAGUGACGGCGCUGUCUUUCAGAAGAACUACACCAUGAAUGUUGGUGUGGAGCUGCUGGAGAAAUCAGUGUCCAUCCCAGACACCGGUGAUGCUGUGGAGCUCUAUAGCUAUGAUUCAGCUGGAA